ensembl:snRNA U6 U6 spliceosomal RNA
GUGCUCGCUUCGGCAGCACAUGUACUAAAACUGGAACGAGACAGAGAAGAUUAGCAUGUCCCCUGCACAAGGAUGACAUGCAAAUUCGGGAAGCGUUCCAUAUUAAA